rnacentral:rRNA from 1 species
UACGAAGGGGGCUAGCGUUGCUCGGAAUCACUGGGCGUAAAGCGCACGUAGGCGGCUUCUUAAGUCAGGGGUGAAAUCCUGGAGCUCAACUCCAGAACUGCCUUUGAUACUGAGGAGCUUGAGUCCGGGAGAGGUGAGUGGAACUGCGAGUGUAGAGGUGAAAUUCGUAGAUAUUCGCAAGAACACCAGUGGCGAAGGCGG